rnacentral:lncRNA from 1 species
GAGGAGUGUCAAGUAAGCAUGAUAAAUUACAUUGACAUGAUGUGGGUAAGAUUUUACCGUUAAUCAUCUAUAUUUGGGUAAAAUCUUAUCCACUCGUGGUUACAACUAAUUAAUGUAAUUUAUCAUGCUUAAAUGAUUGAAUGAAGUAAAAUACAUGUUAUUUAAUGAAUUUAAGUUUAAUGCACCGUGGUGCAUUUUCUUUACACUAUCAGGUAACUAUUAUCUGCUGUAGUAGACCAUUCAUUUCUCAGGUAAAAAUAUACAACUGAAUGACCUGCAUAAAUUAUGAUGGUGUAAAAAGAAAAUUCAUUUCUCAGGUAAAAAUAUAUAAAACUGAAUGACCUGCAUGAAUUAUAAUGGCGUAAAAAGAAAAUAAUAUAAAACUGAAUGACCUGCAUGAAUUAUGAUGGUGUAAAAAGAAAAUGCACCGCCGGUGUAUCAAACUUAAACUCUUAUUUAAUCAACUCUUAUUUAAUUAUACUUAGCGAGAUGAACUCUAAAUUCAAACAAAU